GUUUAUAGCCGUAUCACCCUGAAAACACCUGAUUUCAUCUGAUCUUGGAAGCUAAGCAGGGUCGGGCCUGGUUGUACUUGGAUGGGAGAAUACUGCUUCACACACCUUAAGUGUGACAAGCU
rnacentral:rRNA from 1 species